UCAAAUUUGUAAUCUGGCGUCUUCGACGUCCGAGUUGUAAUCUCGAGAAGUGUUUUCCGUGAUAGACCGCAUACAAGUCUCUUGGAACAGAGCGUCAUAGUGGUGAGAACCCAGUACACGAUGCGGAUGCCUAUUACUUUGUGAUACACUUUCGAAGAGUCGAGUUGUUUGGGAAUGCAGCUCAAAUUGGGUGGUAAAUUCCAUCUAAAGCUAAAUAUUGGCGAGAGACCGAUAGCGAACAAGUACCGUGAGGGAAAGAUGAAAAGCACUUUGGAAAGAGAGUUAACAGUACGUGAAAUUGUUGGAAGGGAAACACAUGCAGUGAUACUUGCUAUUCGGGGCAACUCGAUUGGCAGGCCCGCAUCAGUUUUUCGGGGCGGAAAAGCAUGGAUUGAAGGUAGCAGUCUCGGCUGUGUUAUAGCUUUCCAUUGGAUUCGCCCUGGGGGACUGAGGAACGCAGCGUGCUUUUUGCAUGAGCUUCGGCUUAUCCACGCUUAGGAUGCGGGUUUAUGGCUGUAUAUGACCCGUCUUGAAACACGGACCAAGGAGUCUAACAUGCUUGCGAGUAUUUGGGUGUCAAACCCGGAUGCGCAAUGAAAGUGAAUGGAGGUGGGAAGCGCAAGCUGCACCAUCGACCGAUCUGGAUUUUUUAAGAUGGAUUUGAGUAAGAGCAAGUAUGUUGGGACCCGAAAGAUGGUGAACUAUGCCUGAAUAGGGCGAAGCCAGAGGAAACUCUGGUGGAGGCUCGUAGCGGUUCUGACGUGCAAAUCGAUCGUCAAAUUUGGGUAUAG
rnacentral:rRNA from 1 species